GACGAACGCUGGCGGCGUGCCUAACACAUGCAAGUCGAACGAGUCCACCUUCGGGUGAGGCGAGUGGCGGACGGGUGAGUAACACGUGAGCAAUCUAUCCUGUUGCGGGGGACAACGAGGGGAAACUCUCACUAAUACCGCAUGGUCAAGAGAGUCGAUGACUCUUUUGGGAAACGUGGCCUCUUAACAAUGCUACGGCGGCAGGAGGAGCUCGCGGGCUAUCAGCUAGUUGGUGAGGUAACGGCUCACCAAGGCGACGACGGCUACGGGGUCUGUGAGGACGACCCCGCACAUUGGAACUGAAACACGGUCCAGACUCCUACGGGAGGCAGCAGUAGGGAAUAUUGGGCAAUGGCCGAAAGGCUGACCCAGCGACGCCGCGUGUGGGAGGAAGCCCUUCGGGGUGUAAACCACUGUCAGGAGGGACGAAAGAGUCGGGGGUGGAAUAAUCCUCGGCAGUGACGGUACCUUCAAAGGAAGCACCGGCUAACUCUGUGCCAGCAGCCGCGGUAAUAC
rnacentral:rRNA from 1 species